UCUAACUCGCUUUCACUCAUUAGAUACCAAAUCAUUCACUCGUUUCAUAAAUAUGGUAUUACACGGGACAUCGUUUAGUAUUCUCUAUGUCUCACAGUGUAUAUUGUGAUGUCUCACAAGGUAUAUUGUGAGAUCAUGCAGUGUAAAUUGUGAUGUCACACAGUGUAUAUUAUGAUGUCCUAUAGUGUAUAUUGUGAUGUCAUACAUUAUUAUAUUGUGAUGUCUCAGUGUAUAUUCUGAUGUCACACAGUGUAUAUUGUGAUGUCUCACAAGGUAUAUUGUGAUGUCAUGCAGUGUAUAUUGUGAUGUCAUACAGUGUAUAUUGUGAUGUCUCACAGUGUAUAUUGUAAUGUCACACAGUGUAUUUUAUGAUGUCCUAUAGUGUAUAUUGUGAUGUCAUACAGUGUAUACUGUGAUGUCUCCCAGGGUAUAUUGUGAUGUCAUGCAGGGUAUAUUGUGAUGUCUCACAGGGUAUAUUGUGAUGUCAUACGUUUUAUAUUGUGAUGUCAUACAUUGUAUAUUGUGAUGUAAUACUCUGUAUAUUGUGAUGUCAUACAGUGUAUAUUGUGAUGUCAUACAGUGUAUAUUGUGAUAUGUUGUGGUAAACACUAUUACAGAAUCUUUGUAAUACUACAGUAAAACUAGCCCAGAGUAUGUGUGCUACUAGUCCAGAAUAUGUAUACUGCUACAAAUAUAUAUACUGCUACAGUAAAACUAGUCCAGAAUAUGUAUACUGCUACAGUAAAACUACUUCAGAAUAUAUACACUACUAUAGUAGCUACUCCAGAAUUUAUGCAAUACUACAGUAAAACAAUCCAGAAUUUAUGUAGUAGUCAAACGUGUCCAGAAUAUAUAUACUGCUACAGUAAAACUAGUCCAGAAUAUAUAUACUACUACAGUAAAACUACUUCAGAAUGUGUGUAGUACCACAAGGCAGGUAUUCCAUCACUUGAUUGCCAUGUCUAGACUUGAUUACUUGUACACCAACUUCCUACCAUAUAUAUUUUGAUAAUGAUUAAAUAUGCUAAUCACAUUAAA